rnacentral:rRNA from 1 species
UUAAGCGACUAAGCGUACACGGUGGAUGCCCUGGCAGUCAGAGGCGAUGAAGGACGUGCUAAUCUGCGAUAAGCGUCGGUAAGGUGAUAUGAACCGUUAUAACCGGCGAUUUCCGAAUGGGGAAACCCAGUGUGAUUCGUCACACUAUCAUUAACUGAAUCCAUAGGUUAAUGAGGCGAACCGGGGGAACUGAAACAUCUAAGUACCCCGAGGAAAAGAAAUCAACCGAGAUUCCCCCAGUAGCGGCGAGCGAACGGGGAGCAGCCCAGAGCCUGAAUCAGUGUGUGUGUUAGUGGAAGCGUCUGGAAAGGCGCGCGAUACAGGGUGACAGCCCCGUACACAAAAAUGCACAUGCUGUGAGCUCGAUGAGUAGGGCGGGACACGUGGUAUCCUGUCUGAAUAUGGGGGGACCAUCCUCCAAGGCUAAAUACUCCUGACUGACCGAUAGUGAACCAGUACCGUGAGGGAAAGGCGAAAAGAACCCCGGCGAGGGGAGUGAAAAAGAACCUGAAACCGUGUACGUACAAGCAGUGGGAGCACGCUUAGGCGUGUGACUGCGUACCUUUUGUAUAAUGGGUCAGCGACUUAUAUUCUGUAGCAAGGUUAACCGAAUAGGGGAGCCGAAGGGAAACCGAGUCUUAACUGGGCGUUAAGUUGCAGGGUAUAGACCCGAAACCCGGUGAUCUAGCCAUGGGCAGGUUGAAGGUUGGGUAACACUAACUGGAGGACCGAACCGACUAAUGUUGAAAAAUUAGCGGAUGACUUGUGGCUGGGGGUGAAAGGCCAAUCAAACCGGGAGAUAGCUGGUUCUCCCCGAAAGCUAUUUAGGUAGCGCCUCGUGAAUUCAUCUCCGGGGGUAGAGCACUGUUUCGGCAAGGGGGUCAUCCCGACUUACCAACCCGAUGCAAACUGCGAAUACCGGAGAAUGUUAUCACGGGAGACACACGGCGGGUGCUAACGUCCGUCGUGAAGAGGGAAACAACCCAGACCGCCAGCUAAGGUCCCAAAGUCAUGGUUAAGUGGGAAACGAUGUGGGAAGGCCCAGACAGCCAGGAUGUUGGCUUAGAAGCAGCCAUCAUUUAAAGAAAGCGUAAUAGCUCACUGGUCGAGUCGGCCUGCGCGGAAGAUGUAACGGGGCUAAACCAUGCACCGAAGCUGCGGCAGCGACGCUUAUGCGUUGUUGGGUAGGGGAGCGUUCUGUAAGCCUGUGAAGGUGUGCUGUGAGGCAUGCUGGAGGUAUCAGAAGUGCGAAUGCUGACAUAAGUAACGAUAAAGCGGGUGAAAAGCCCGCUCGCCGGAAGACCAAGGGUUCCUGUCCAACGUUAAUCGGGGCAGGGUGAGUCGACCCCUAAGGCGAGGCCGAAAGGCGUAGUCGAUGGGAAACAGGUUAAUAUUCCUGUACUUGGUGUUACUGCGAAGGGGGGACGGAGAAGGCUAUGUUGGCCGGGCGACGGUUGUCCCGGUUUAAGCGUGUAGGCUGGUUUUCCAGGCAAAUCCGGAAAAUCAAGGCUGAGGCGUGAUGACGAGGCACUACGGUGCUGAAGCAACAAAUGCCCUGCUUCCAGGAAAAGCCUCUAAGCAUCAGGUAACAUCAAAUCGUACCCCAAACCGACACAGGUGGUCAGGUAGAGAAUACCAAGGCGCUUGAGAGAACUCGGGUGAAGGAACUAGGCAAAAUGGUGCCGUAACUUCGGGAGAAGGCACGCUGAUAUGUAGGUGAAGCGACUUGCUCGUGGAGCUGAAAUCAGUCGAAGAUACCAGCUGGCUGCAACUGUUUAUUAAAAACACAGCACUGUGCAAACACGAAAGUGGACGUAUACGGUGUGACGCCUGCCCGGUGCCGGAAGGUUAAUUGAUGGGGUUAGCGCAAGCGAAGCUCUUGAUCGAAGCCCCGGUAAACGGCGGCCGUAACUAUAACGGUCCUAAGGUAGCGAAAUUCCUUGUCGGGUAAGUUCCGACCUGCACGAAUGGCGUAAUGAUGGCCAGGCUGUCUCCACCCGAGACUCAGUGAAAUUGAACUCGCUGUGAAGAUGCAGUGUACCCGCGGCAAGACGGAAAGACCCCGUGAACCUUUACUAUAGCUUGACACUGAACAUUGAGCCUUGAUGUGUAGGAUAGGUGGGAGGCUUUGAAGUGUGGACGCCAGUCUGCAUGGAGCCGACCUUGAAAUACCACCCUUUAAUGUUUGAUGUUCUAACGUUGACCCGUAAUCCGGGUUGCGGACAGUGUCUGGUGGGUAGUUUGACUGGGGCGGUCUCCUCCUAAAGAGUAACGGAGGAGCACGAAGGUUGGCUAAUCCUGGUCGGACAUCAGGAGGUUAGUGCAAUGGCAUAAGCCAGCUUGACUGCGAGCGUGACGGCGCGAGCAGGUGCGAAAGCAGGUCAUAGUGAUCCGGUGGUUCUGAAUGGAAGGGCCAUCGCUCAACGGAUAAAAGGUACUCCGGGGAUAACAGGCUGAUACCGCCCAAGAGUUCAUAUCGACGGCGGUGUUUGGCACCUCGAUGUCGGCUCAUCACAUCCUGGGGCUGAAGUAGGUCCCAAGGGUAUGGCUGUUCGCCAUUUAAAGUGGUACGCGAGCUGGGUUUAGAACGUCGUGAGACAGUUCGGUCCCUAUCUGCCGUGGGCGCUGGAGAACUGAGGGGGGCUGCUCCUAGUACGAGAGGACCGGAGUGGACGCAUCACUGGUGUUCGGGUUGUCAUGCCAAUGGCACUGCCCGGUAGCUAAAUGCGGAAGAGAUAAGUGCUGAAAGCAUCUAAGCACGAAACUUGCCCCGAGAUGAGUUCUCCCUGACCCUUUAAGGGUCCUGAAGGAACGUUGAAGACGACGACGUUGAUAGGCCGGGUGUGUAAGCGCAGCGAUGCGUUGAGCUAACCGGUACUAAUGAACCGUGAGGCUUAACCUU